CCUACGGGUGGCAGCAGUCGAGAAUCAUUCACAAUGGGGGAAACCCUGAUGGUGCGACGCCGCGUGGGGGAAUGAAGGUCCUCGGAUUGUAAACCCCUGUCAUGUGGGAGCAAAUUAAAAAGAUAGUACCACAAGAGGAAGAGACGGCUAACUCUGUGCCAGCAGCCGCGGUAAUACAGAGGUCUCAAGCGUUGUUCGGAAUCACUGGGCGUAAGGCGUGCGUAGGCUGUUUCGUAAGUCGUGUGUGAAAGGCGCGGGCUCAACCCGCGGACGGCACAUGAUACUGCGAGACUAGAGUAAUGGAGGGGGGACCGGAAUUCUCGGUGUAGCAGUGAAAUGCGUAGAUAUCGAGAGGAACACUCGUGGCGAAGGCGGGUUCCUGGACAUUAACUGACGCUGAGGCACGAAGGCCAGGGGAGCGAAAGGGAUUAGAUACCCUUGUAGUC
rnacentral:rRNA from 1 species